GCGGAAUCACUGGGCUUAAAGCGUGUGUAUGCGGGCCCGUAAGUGUCUUGUGAAAUCCCACGGCUCAACCGUGGAACUGCUGGGCAUACUGCGGGUCUUGGGCCAACUAGGGGCAGCCGGAACAAGCGGUGGAGCGGUGAAAUGCGUAGAUAUCGCUUGGAACGCCGAAGGUGAAAACAGGCUGCUGGGGUUGCGCCGACGCUGAGACACGAAAGCCAGGGGAGCAAACGGG
rnacentral:rRNA from 1 species